AGAGUUUGAUCCUAGCUCAGGAUGAACGCUGGCGGCGUGGAUAAGGCAUGCAAGUCAAACGGGUAUUGUAGCAAUACAAUAUCAGUGGCAGACGAGGCAGUAAUAAAUAGGUAUGUCCCGGAGAGUCAGGCAUAGCUCGCCGAAAGGCGUGGUAAUUCCUGAUAGUUCCCGCAAGGGUAAAGUCGCAAGACGCUCUUUGAACAGCCUGUUCAGUAUCAGCUAGUUGGUAGGGUAAUGGCCUACCAAGGCAAUGACGCUUAGGGGACCUGAGAGGGUGACCCCCGCCGAUGGGACUGCGAAACGGCCCAUACAUCUACGGAUGGCAGCAGCCGAGAAUAUUCGACAAUGCGCGAAAGCGUGAUCGAGCGACGCCGCGUGGAGGACGAAGCCCUUCGGGGUGUAAACUUCUUUUGCGGACUGCAAAGUUUAUUGAUGAGUUCGAGAAUAAGGGGCUACUAACUCUGUGCCAGCAGUAGCGGUAAUACAGAGGCCCCGAGCGUUAUCCGGAAUCACUGGGCGUAAAGGGUGCGUAGGCGGUCCUGUUAGUCCUGCAUUAAAUCCUUUGGCUUAACCAAAGACCUGUGCAGGAAACGGCGGGACUAGAGGAUGCAAGAGGCAAGCGGAACUCACGGUGUAGGGGUGAAAUCCGUUGAUAUCGUGGGGAACGCCAAAAGCGAAGGCAGCUUGCUGGUGCAUUCCUGACGCUGAAGCACGAAAGCGUGGGUAGCGAAUGGGAUUAGAUAAUCCCUGCCCGCUAAUAAAAUAUUGGCAAAAGGUGUCUCUCCCGAAGGCGACUUUGGGAUGUAAAUCUAGCUGUAUCGGGGAAACUCUCUGACACUAUGCGCUUACUGGCGCGUUAGAGACAACCCCGAGGGAAGUUUUGUGAAUUUCAUUGAGGAAACAAUAACAACAAACAAAAAGGAAAAUUGUAUGCGUUUUCUCGCGAUAGGACUAGUUCUUUAUGCAUGUCUGCUCGGCGUAAUAAAACCAGAAAGUGACUCGGCAAAAAACAUCGCGCUCGCCGUUUUGCUCUGUCUUUUCUGGAUUCUGGGCGCAAUCGGUCUGUGCUUUGACGCAGCACAGGCAGAAAAAG
rnacentral:rRNA from 1 species